rnacentral:rRNA from 1 species
GAUGAACGCUGGCGGCGUGCCUAAUACAUGCAAGUCGAACGCGCAGCGAAAGGUGCUUGCACCUUUCAAGCGAGUGGCGAACGGGUGAGUAACACGUGGAUAACCUGCCUCAAGGCUGGGGAUAACAUUUGGAAACAGAUGCUAAUACCGAAUAAAACUUAGUAUCGCAUGAUAAAAAGUUAAAAGGCGCUACGGCGUCACCUAGAGAUGGAUCCGCGGUGCAUUAGUUAGUUGGUGGGGGAAAGGCUUACCAAGACGAUGAUGCAUAGCCGAGUUGAGAGACUGAUCGGCCACAUUGGGACUGAGACACGGCCCAAACUCCUACGGGAGGCUGCAGUAGGGAAUCUUCCACAAUGGGCGCAAGCCUGAUGGAGCAACGCCGCGUGUGUGAUGAAGGCUUUCGGGUCGUAAAGCACUGUUGUAUGGGAAGAAAUGCUAAAAUAGGGAAUGAUUUUAGUUUGACGGUACCAUACCAGAAAGGGACGGCUAAAUACGUGCCAGCAGCCGCGGUAA